GCGUAGUGUAGUGGUUAUCACAUCUCUCAAACACGCAGAAGGUCCUGGGUUCGUAACCCAGCUAAAACA